rnacentral:rRNA from 1 species
UACGUAGGGUGCAAGCGUUAAUCGGAAUUACUGGGCGUAAAGCGUGCGCAGGCGGCUUUGCAAGACAGAUGUGAAAUCCCCGGGCUUAACCUGGGAACUGCAUUUGUGACUGCAUGGCUGGAGUGCGGCAGAGGGGGAUGGAAUUCCGCGUGUAGCAGUGAAAUGCGUAGAUAUGCGGAGGAACACCGAUGGCGAAGGCGGCGUUCUGGACUGCAACUGACACUGAAAAACGAAAGCCAGGGGAGCAAACGGG